GACGAACGCUGGCGGCGUGCUUAACACAUGCAAGUCGAGCGGUAAGGCCCUUUCGGGGGUACGACGAGCGGCGAACGGGUGAGUAACACGUGGGUGACCUGCCCUCAGCUCUGGGAUAAGCCCGGGAAACUGGGUCUAAUACCGGAUAUGACUCCAUGACGCAUGUUGUGGGGUGGAAAGCCUUGUGCGGCUGAGGGUGGGCCCGCGGCCUAUCAGCUUGUUGGUGGGGUGAUGGCCACCAAGGCGACGACGGGUAGCCGGCCUGAGAGGGCGACCGGCCACACUGGGACUGAGAUACGGCCCAGACUCCUACGGGAGGCAGCAGUGGGGAAUCUUGCGCAAUGGGCGAAAGCCUGACGCAGCGACGCCGCGUGAGGGAUGACGGCCU
rnacentral:rRNA from 1 species